GUAUUUAAAAUCAAAAUCAAGGUUCUCGUCUAAUCACCAAAGUCAAGCAGUGCUGAGCUAGGAUAGUACUUAGAUGGGUGACUGCUUGGGAACUCCGCGUAUAUC
rnacentral:rRNA from 1 species